ensembl:lncRNA
CCAAUAUAUGUGCACUUAGGAUUACUGGUCUGUCACUUGGUGUACACUUCACUCACAUUCCAUUGUUCAGAGCAAGUCACCUUACCAGAGGCCCCUGCAGUGCAUCCUGAUCUGCUCAGUGCUAUGAUGCAAGCUUCCAGACCAAUGAUCAUGAAGGAAUGAAGUUGAGGAUUGGUCUCAGAUGGCAGCUGAAUGACUGAUACACGAGCUGUUGUUCUGACUUGGGGAUUUAGCAGAUGUUUUCUAAAGAGUGGAUGAAGUAAGCCUGCCACUUCAAGGAAAACAACAGGUUUUUCUGAUGAGAAACACGACCCACUGAUUUUGUGUAGUGGAAUAAUGACAACAUUUGGAAAAUCUGCGCAACUCAGGGAAUCAUCAUAUUCUAAAAGUUACAAAAUUUUGGCUGGCUAAAAGAUAUGCACAAAAUGAAGAUGUAUCAGUAGUUUUUAAUGUAGUAGAGCACAAAAAUUCAUUGAUACAUUUUCCGAUUCCAUGCUUGCAACUAACCUAUGAGAAAUUAUUACUUGUUGAGUUUUGCUUUAAUAUCAAAGAAGAAUAUCUACAAUUAUUUGCAAAACUAUUAAACUAUGAUUCUUUUUUUUUCCUAACUACAACUGAGUGAGGCUGAUUUUUUUUCAUAAACUUCAAUCAAAAUAACACAAUUAAACAGUUUGGAUGCAGAAGCAGCUAUUAGAAUCCAGCUGUCUUCUAUAAAGCCAGACAAGAGUUUUGCAAAAUGUAAAUGUCACUCUUUUCAUUAAAAUUUCUUUGUUCUGAGUAGAAGAUUAUUUUUCAUAAAGUGC